rnacentral:rRNA from 1 species
UAUGUAGGCGGGUUUUUAAGUCGGGUGUGAAAUCCCACGGCUCAACCGUGGAAUUGCAUUCGAAACUGGAAAUCUUGAGUGUGGGAGAGAUUGGUAGAAUACCUGGUGUAGUGGUGAAAUACGUAGAUAUCAGGUGGAAUACCGGUGGCGAAGGCGGCCAAUUGGCCCAACACUGACGCUGAGAUACGAGAGCGUGGGGAUCAAACA